rnacentral:rRNA from 1 species
UACGUAGGUGGCAAGCGUUGUCCGGAUUUACUGGGCGUAAAGAGCGCGCAGGCGGUCGUGCAAGUCGCGUGUGAAAGCCCCCGGCUCAACUGGGGAGGGUCACGCGAUACUGCUCGACUUGAAGGCAGGAGAGGAAAGUGGAAUUCCCGGUGUAGUGGUGAAAUGCGUAGAUAUCGGGAGGAACACCAGUGGCGAAGGCGACUUCCUGGCCUGUUCUUGACGCUGAGGCGCGAAAGCUAGGGUAGCAAACGGG